AAAGGCACAUUGCCUAUUGAUUCACAAACAAUCCUUCAAGUUACAGCCAACUCAAUUUGUUUUGUUUGGAUUGUUCGAUUGUUAAUUACUAUAACGAUGCUUUGCGUCCAUAGCGUGAAAUUAAUCCAUCCUUUGUGAAAACAAAUCCCAUUCCUUUGUCACGAAGCAAAUCUUCAGCAGUACAAAAGUGGGCUGCCCAUCUAAUUCUCUUUUAAUUUCUCUUCCAACAGAGGCAGUGUGCCUUUGUAACAUCAGCAGCUCUGCAGAGUGCUUGAAACCAUGCAGAAUCUGACAGACCUCCCAGGCAACACGACAUCCAGCAUUAACCUCUCUGUCAUUGUGAAGCCUCAGGAGCCUGAUCGAGACGGUGCGCCGCACAU